rnacentral:rRNA from 1 species
AUGGAGCAAGAUCCUACAUGUGUACUAUGCGGCCAUGCGGUGGAGGAUGUACAUCAUGCCCUGAUACAAUGCCCCCAUGCAGCGGCACUCUGGGCAGCCAUGAGAGACUACUGGGACCUCCCGACCAUAGAAGACCUGCGUGAUGCCGAGCCCGAAUGGUUGUUUCGUCUGCUUGACAACCUGUCUGAUGUACAGAGGUUGGCUUCCCUGAUGAUCAUGUGGAGGAUUUGGUACGUGAGGAAUGAGAUCACUCAUAAUAAACCACCGGUUCCGAUCGAGGCUUCGCGCAGAUUUCUCACGAGCUAUAUCACGUCUUUGCUUGCGAUACAGCAGCACCCGGAGGCGGAUUUGACAAAAGGAAAGCAGGUGAUUGACCUCUCAGGAAGCAUGCCGAAGAGCACACAUGCAAUAACAGUAGCGCCGCGCUGGGAGGUUCCCGAUGCAAACCAUGCAAAACUUAAUAUUGAUGGCGCUUUUGUUAAGGAAAAUGGCACGGCUGGGGCUGGCAUGAUUUUACGUGAUCAUGAAGGUGAUGUCAUCUUUGCCGCGAUACGGGUCCUUUUUAACUGUGGUGAUCCCUUGGAAGCCGAGAUGGCGGCGCUGGAUGAAGGACUACAACUUGCUCUCCACUGGACUAACCUGCCGCUGCUUGUUGAAACGGAUUGUGGCGAGCUGUUAAAGAUGGUGCAGUCGAAAGAUAAAAACCGGUCGAGGUAUGCGUACCGGGUUAAUGAGAUCAGAAGAGUUCUGGCUCAAGAAAGGAACAUUAGUCUAGCUAAGAUCAGCAGGCACGCAAAUCUGGCGAGCCACACCCUAGCUUGUAUGGGUCGCUCGCAUCAGCGCACGGCAUGCUGGCUCCGGAGUUUCCCUAGGGAGAUAGCUAGCAUUGUCGAAUCUGAAUGUAAUCAUCAUAGUUGA